UGCACUUCAACUUCUGUCAGAAAGACUUGGAUGUGGCAGUUGUGUCUCGCUUGCAGAUUGAAAUGAUACUGCCUCAUUACCUCUUGUUUUUUUGUGGAAGAGUGAAGUGUUUCAGCAUUCAAUUUUAGUGCUAAGUCCACUUCCAAGUUUUCAAGUUUUUUAUUGUGGGUAUUUUUUUGUCUUUGAAUGCGUCCAAUUGAUGAUGAACUGAGAACAUCUCUCAGGCUUUCUCCGAGAAGUAAACUUCAAAUACUAUUUAGUUUGCAGUUAAGAAACAAACAAACAAUCCCCCAAACCCCAGAACAACAACAAAAACUGAUAACACAAACCCAAACAAUUUUAAGAACAAUAUCCUGACAAUAUUCUGAACAAGUUAAUAUAUUUUGCAAGUAGUCUUGUUUUUUUGGACAAAGCUGUCUUUGAAUGAACGAGUUAAAUUGUAUCAUUUUCCUUCUAUUUAUGAUCUGGUGUGGUGUAAUCUGGUACAUAUCUCUGAAGUUUGAUAGAUACUUUUCCCACCACGUAGCCUGAAAUGUCUUGUUAAGAUUUAGCAAACUGAAGAUUAUUCUCUCCUGGAUAAUGAUCUAAGAGUUAUCAUUACAUCAUUUGGCUCAGUAGUGUGUUUCUUGUACAUCUAAAAGACAAUUCUCAGUGUUCUUUAACUGUGUUUAUUGUGUGUGGAGCACAGAUCUGAAUGGUCAGCUUUACAGGGAUAUAUUGGGAAUAUAUUUGUUUAGGUUACAGCUUCGAGUUGUUUAGUAUGUCACGUUUCUACUCUUUGGUUAGGGAGCAAUCCGUUCCUUAACGUUUGCUAUCACACAAGCUUGUGAUUUCAUGAUUGGUGUGUUACUGUUGCCAGUGUUUGAGGUGUUACCUCAGCCCAGGCAACAAUGCUACAUAUCAGCAGGGUAACAUAACAGAAAAGCCCAAGGAAUUGAUGGAAGUUAGCAGUCAGCUGUUUGUCUGCACAGACAUCUUUCUACUUUGACAUUAUCCAUACAGGAACUGUGCUCUGGGGAGGAUUAUGCAAUACUGGAAAUAACAACUUGUAACAGUAGUAGUCUACGAUUGCAACAAAUGACAUCAAGCAGUGUGUGGGAAUCCAGAUUCUUUAUGGAUGUGUGAAAGGUGGUUAUUAUUUGGUGGGGUUUAUCUAACCUCUUACCACGAUUUCCUGGUAAAAUCAACCACUUUUUUCAUGUUUUACUGCAACAAUUGUGACAAUCAACAUACAUUGACAGCGUGUGUUCAAAGCAGACAGAGCUUUGUUUAAGGCAAAGACUUUUUGAGACAAGGACUGGUCUCAUAAAGGCAGAGCAAUCACCUGAAUCUUUCCAUGUGGGAGUUCAUCUGUGCCCAUCAGGGGCUUUUCAAGAAAACAGCAAUUUCUUUCUCCCGACCGCAGCCUGAAACUGCCAGGUCUCUUCAUUGGCUUUCUUCUGGAGCACUGAUCUGUACCAAAAUGUUACACAGGCAGCCUGAGUGAUGCUGAAAUGCUGAGCUAAAAUGAGUAAUAUAAACAGUAACACUGGUUACUCCUAUUGUCAGAAUUUACAUCCUAGGAUGAGUGCUAUCCAAGCCAAGGAACAGAAUUUACAUCCUAGGAUGAGUGCUAUCCAAGCCAAGGAAUUUCUCACUCUUCACUCACAGUUAAUGUGAACGUGCAGGGCAGCUGAUGAACACCAAAGUGCUCUACACUUACACUGUUUCAAGGACAGCUUUCUUCAAGUGCAGAAAGUCCCAAUCUUGUGUGGUAAAUAAUGCUACUUUUCUCCUGCAAAGAUACCUAAGUUCCUGUCAACAUUUGUUGUCUUGCUGGCCAAGAAGAGCUAGCUUUUGCUUAUCUUUGAUUUUUAUUCAUUUAUGAGAAGAUGAGAUUGAAAAGAAAAGAGCUUCCAUUUUGCUGCAAUGGCAUAAAAACCUUCACCUUGCUGUGGCCAAAAUGUCCAUUUUACCCUGUAAUGUGCUCUCUUUCUUUUACAGUGACGCUUCGUGUAUUGUGGAAUUGAUUGUAUGGAUGUAGCAAAGUUGCAUUAUAAAAUUACAAGGUCUUUGAUAAAUAU